rnacentral:rRNA from 1 species
GAUGAACGCUAGCUACAGGCUUAACACAUGCAAGUCGAGGGGAAACGAUAUUGGAAGCUUGCUUCCGAUAGGCGUCGACCGGCGCACGGGUGAGUAACGCGUAUCCAACCUCGCCCAUCACUUGGGAAUAACCUUGCGAAAGUAAGACUAAUGCCCAAUGACAUUCAUAGAAGGCCAGCCGGUAGGGGAUGGGCAUGCGGCGCAUUAGCUAGUUGGCGGGGCAACGGCCCACCAAGGCGACGAUGCGUAGGGGUUCUGAGAGGAAGGUCCCCCACACUGGUACUGAGACACGGACCAGACUCCUACGGGAGGCAGCAGUGAGGAAUAUUGGUCAAUGGGCGCAGGCCUGAACCAGCCAAGUCGCGUGAGGGAAGACGGUCCUACGGAUUGUAAACCUCUUUUGUCGGGGAGUAACGUGCGGGACGCGUCCCGUAUUGAGAGUACCCGAAGAAAAAGCAUCGGCUAACUCCGUG